AAAAGUUGAUUUAGAAAAAGAAAAGAAAAGAAAAGGGAAUCACUUGUUCCCAAGUAAACUGUGGAGUUUGAUGAUAAGUUCAUCCUCUUGUUGGGUGAAAUUCCCCCUCUUAAGAUCAGGCCUCAAGUAGUUUAUCCAUCUUAAUCUGCAACUCUUGCCACACCUAAGCAACCCUGCAUACAUAUAAACCAAAUAAGUAAAAACAAGAGAUUAAAGAAGCGAAGGGAAAGUGGGAGCACGAGGCACCCACCGGCAGCUUUGGGAAGGGAACGCCAGCAGCCUUCACCGUGGAGACGGAUGUAGUCAAUGAGGCGCUGGUCUUCCUCUUUGGUCCAGGCUCCUUUAUUGGUAUGUGCCUUCUCGCAGCAGGGCGACCGUCCCAUUCUAAUUCUCAAACCCAGCACAGGACCUUUGGGAUAUGA